CCGACUCGAUAGUAGUUUUGCAUCAAGACUUGGACAUAAGGCAUAGAACACUCAGCAAUCGGGACAAAGACCGAUUAGUGCAUGUACCAUUUUGUCUUUCAGAUGCAUGAUUAUGUUUUAUUUAUUUGAAAGUCAAACUCGGCCCGAGUUGACCUACUAGAUCUAAUUCUGGCCAAUGUUGACCGCGUUUGAUCGAUUCCGAGUAGUAAUUAGGCAGAGUUGAAAAAAGUCGUCUCGGCAACCUACCUUGAAGAGAUUACUCGGGGAGUACUUGGCCUUGGAGACCUUGUUUUACAACUAUGGUCUCAAGUGAAAGCAUGCAAUAUAUAAUACGGGUCAGAACAGGAAAUCUUUUUCUCAGAUUGGAUUCUCGGUUGAACCAUUCAUCUAAGAAAGAAUUAUACUUCUGUAUCUAUGAUUCUCCCAUCCUUCUUAUGAUGGUAAAUUGGUACCCAUGUGUAGAAGAAGUGGAAUUGAGGCUAAAUUGAGGAAGAAACACACACGUGGGAAAUAAACAUUGAAAAUAAAAUAUAAAAUCUGGAAUUUUCAUUCUUCGCACCACGCGAAGAACCCAUGAAAAUGCCUUGCGACACGCCAAGAAGUGGAUCAAUAAGAAAUUAAGGGACCGAUUGUUUUGUCUUUAGCGACAAGCGAAGAACUCUGAUUAGGCCUUUGCUACGUGCGAAGGAUGUCAGAUUUCAGUAAAAAAAACCCUCCCUAGUUGAUUAUAUUAUUAUCACUUUUGCCCAAUCUUUUCGACAUAGCUGACUUACAAGCGUGAAAACUGAGAGCUCUGGGCGUUUUCGGAGUGGAGAAGCCGGAUUUGAUCAAGAAUUGAAGCAAGGGGUCGCGAAUCAGUUCGGUUACCUUAAUUUGGUUUAUGUUUUUUUGAACUUCUUUGUUUUUCCAUAUUUCUAGACCUCAUGUUUCUUAUUCAUAAGACUUGUUAUCUGAUGUUAAACAUGAUAUUUGGCUACACUUUUGUAGCUACCUAGGUUUUGGAUGAAUAACUGUUGAAUUU